GUCCAGGGAUGGGAAUCGAACCCACAAUGUUCCGCUUACCGGGCAGAUGCCACUAGUACUAGGCUACCCUGGA